UUGGAGGGCAAGUCUGGUGCCAGCAGCCGCGGUAAUUCCAGCUCCAAUAGCGUAUAUUAAAGUUGCUGCUGUUAAAAAGCUCGUAGUUGAAUUUCGGGACCAUCAUGUCGGUCGUGCCUCGGUACGUACUGGUAUUGUUGGUUUCUCCCUUCUGACGAACCAUGAUGUCAUUUAUUUGGUGUUGUGGGGAAUCAGGACUGUUACUUUGAAAAAAUUAGAGUGUUUAAAGCAGGCUCACGCUUGAAUACAUUAGCAUGGAAUAAUGAAAUAGGACGUUUGAUUCUAUUUUGUUGGUUUCUAGGAUCGACGUAAUGAUUAAUAGGGAUAGUUGGGGGCAUUAGUAUUCAAUUGUCAGAGGUGAAAUUCUUGGAUUUAUUGAAGACUAACUACUGCGAAAGCAUUUGCCAAGGAUGUUUUCAUUAAUCAAGAACGAGAGUUAGGGGAUCGAAGACGAUCAGAUACCGUCGUAGUCUUAACCAUAAACUAUGCCGACUAGGGAUCGGAUGAUGUUAAUUUUUUAAUGACUCAUUCGGCGCCUUACGGGAAAC
rnacentral:rRNA from 1 species